rnacentral:rRNA from 1 species
AUGAACGCUGGCGGCGUGCCUAAUACAUGCAAGUCGAGCGAACGGACGAGAAGCUUGCUUCUCUGAUGUUAGCGGCGGACGGGUGAGUAACACGUGGAUAACCUACCUAUAAGACUGGGAUAACUUCGGGAAACCGUAGCUAAUACCGGAUAAUAUUUUGAACCGCAUGGUUCAAAGGUGAAAGACGGUCUUGCUGUCACUUAUAGAUGGAUCCGCGCUGCAUUAGCUAGUUGGUAAGGUAACGGCUUACCAAGGCAACGAUGCAUAGCCGACCUGAGAGGGUGAUCGGCCACACUGGAACUGAGACACGGUCCAGACUCCUACGGGAGGCAGCAGUAGGGAAUCUUCCGCAAUGGGCGAAAGCCUGACGGAGCAACGCCGCGUGAGUGAUGAAGGUCUUCGGAUCGUAAAACUCUGUUAUUAGGGAAGAACAUAUGUGUAAGUAACUGUGCACAUCUUGACGGUACCUAAUCAGAAAGCCACGGCUAACUACGUG